rnacentral:rRNA from 1 species
UACAGAGGUCCCGAGCGUUGUUCGGAUUCAUUGGGCGUAAAGGGUGCGUAGGUGGCGCUGUAAGUGGGGUGUGAAAUCCCGGGGCUUAACCCCGGGACUGCAUUCCAUACUGCGGUGCUUGAGGACUGGAGAGGAGACUGGAAUUUCAUGGUGUAGCAGUGGAAAUGCGUAGAGAUCAUGAGGAAGACCAGUGGCGAAGGCGGGUCUCUGGACAGUUCCUGACACUGAGCACGAG